rnacentral:rRNA from 1 species
AACGAACGCUGGCGGCAUGCCUAACACAUGCAAGUCGAACGAGACCUCCGGGUCUAGUGGCGCAUGGGUGCGUAACGCGUGGGAAUCUGCCCUUGUGUUCGGAAUAACAGUUGGAAACGACUGCUAAUACCGGAUGAUGACGUAAGUCCAAAGAUUUAUCGCCCAAGGAUGAGCCCGCGUAGGAUUAGCUAGUUGGUGAGGUAAAGGCUCACCAAGGCGACGAUCCUUAGCUGGGUUGAGAGGAUGCUCAGCCACACUGAGAGUGGGACACGGCCCGGACUCCUACGGAAGGCGGCAGUGGGGAAUAUUGGACAGUGGGCGGAGGGCUGAACCAGCAAUGCCGCGUAAGUGAUGAAGGCCUUAAAGUUGUAAAGCUCUUUUACCCAGGAUGAUAAUGACAGUACCGGGAGAAUAAGCUCCGGCUAACUCCGUG